GCCCAGGUGGCGGAAUUGGUAGACGCGUUGGUCUCAAACACCAAUGGCUUCGGCCGUGCCGGUUCGACUCCGGCCCUGGGUACAA
rnacentral:tRNA from 1 species